rnacentral:rRNA from 1 species
UACGAAGGGGGCUAGCGUUGCUCGGAAUUACUGGGCGUAAAGCGCGCGCAGGUGGUUUCUUAAGUCUGAUGUGAAAGCCCACGGCUCAACCGUGGAGGGUCAUUGGAAACUGGGAGACUUGAGUGCAGAAGAGGAAAGUGGAAUUCCAUGUGUAGCGGUGAAAUGCGUAGAGAUAUGGAGGAACACCAGUGGCGAAGGCGACUUUCUGGUCUGUAACUGACACUGAGGCGCGAAAGCGUGGGGAGCAAACAGG